AGCAGCCGCGGUAAUUCCAGCUCCAAUAGCGUAUAUUAAAGUUGUUGCAGUUAAAAAGCUCGUAGUUGAAUUUCGGGAUUUGCACAUCGGUCGUGCCUUAAGGGGUAUGAACUGGUGUAGUGAAUUUCUCACCUUCUGGAGAACCGCGAUGUCCUUAAUUGGGUGCCGCGAGGAACCAGGACCUUUACUUUGAAAAAAUUAGAGUGUUUAAAGCAGGCAUUUUUGCUUGAAUACAUUAGCAUGGAAUAAUAAAAUAGGACGGCAUGAUUCUAUUUUGUUGGUUUCUAGGAUCACCGUAAUGAUUAAUAGGGAUAGUUGGGGGCAUUAGUAUUCAAUUGUCAGAGGUGAAAUUCUUGGAUUUAUUGAAGACUAACUACUGCGAAAGCAUUUGCCAAGGAUAGUUUUCAUUAAUCAAGAACGAAAGUUAGGGGAUCGAAGACGAUCAGAUACCGUCGUAGUCUUAACCAUAAACUAUGCCGACUAGGAAUCAGACGAUGUUAAUUUUUUAAUGACUCGUUUG
rnacentral:rRNA from 1 species